rnacentral:rRNA from 1 species
AUUGAACGCUGGCGGCAGGCCUAACACAUGCAAGUCGAGCGGAUGAAGGGAGCUUGCUCCUGGAUUCAGCGGCGGACGGGUGAGUAAUGCCUAGGAAUCUGCCUGGUAGUGGGGGAUAACGUCCGGAAACGGGCGCUAAUACCGCAUACGUCCUGAGGGAGAAAGUGGGGGAUCUUCGGACCUCACGCUAUCAGAUGAGCCUAGGUCGGAUUAGCUAGUUGGUGGGGUAAAGGCCUACCAAGGCGACGAUCCGUAACUGGUCUGAGAGGAUGAUCAGUCACACUGGAACUGAGACACGGUCCAGACUCCUACGGGAGGCAGCAGUGGGGAAUAUUGACAAAGGGCGAAAGCCUGAUCCAGCCAUGCCGCGUGUGUGAAGAAGGUCUUCGGAUUGUAAAGCACUUUAAGUUGGGAGGAAGGGCAGUAAGUUAAUACCUUGCUGUUUUGACGUUACCAACAGAAUAAGCACCGGCUAACUUCGUG